ensembl:lncRNA
AUGCCCAACGCACUCAAGCUGGAACUCUUUUCAAAAGUUAAUUUAUUUCCACCAGGCGCACAUCUCAGGGAUCUCAAAAACGGCCUCAUCCAAAUUUUGUACAAAAUCACAUUUUGGUGUGUGUGUGUGGGGGGGGGGGGGGAGCCUCGUUAUUGUGAAUUUGCAGGGGAGUGCUCCAGAGAGACCAGCUGGGGAGGAGGAGAGGAAAAGGAGGGCAGACGGUGGUUUUUUGGAGAACUAAUCAUGCCAGGGCAGCUAGUGGCACUGCCCAGGUCUUCGCACAGCGGCCGGCCCUGCAGACCUCUGACUAAAGGGCUCUUUUACUUGGAGAUGCGGACAGUCCAUCAUUUCAAACCGAAAUGGCAGCUGGAAAAUGUGGAACAGCUGGCAGAGAGCUGGGAGAAAAUGUUUUACAUAAAUAUAUGUACAUAUAAACUGGCAGAGGGCCACAGGCACUGCACCCAAGGCCAGCAGCAUCUACGCGGGGUAGGAGAAGUCGGGGCAGCACGAGCAGUGAGGACGCUGCCUCCUGCAUCCUCUGGGCACGCGGGGUCAGCGGGGGCCGCCCGGGGCCAGCCCCCCCCCCCCCCCCCCCCCCCAGGCCCGGGCCCCUCCUCGGGGGCGGGGGGGGGGGCACCUCCUGCAGGAGCUGCAGGACCCACGACCGGGGCGCAAAGUUCAGGGAAGGAUACGAGGCCCGGCUGUGCACUGGCGCUUCGGCAUCUGGCGAUCUGCUUAAAAGUCGCUUCACAAACUCUCCAAGUUUGGGGGUAUGAAGAAUUCUUCUAAGGAAUUCCAGUGAACAAAACUUCCUGUAUGUGCUACAUAAGAAACUGGGAGAAGAGAGGCCACGUUUCUGGGAACACGAUGAGGAGUUCAGAUAUUUUACGAAAAGUCAAGAAGCAGUGAUCAUGUACUUGGGAAUCGUGAUGCUCGUGGGAAGAGGCACCUCUCCAACAUUGAUAGCUGUGGGGUUCAGAGAAAGGGCUCUGAGAUCACAGCGAGAGGCUAACAUGAGUGGCGAGGGGCAACCAAGGAGUCCCACCCCAAAAGCCGCAGCAUGGGACCCGUGGGACUGGUAGUGCCGGGCAUCUGGUGGCCAGGGGAGAAUGUGAACCAUCACCGCAGAGAACGUGGGACCUCAGAGAACGAAGCAAGGGAAAUGAAGGACACAGGAGCUCCUGCUGCAUCAUCGAGUAGAGCCAGUGAUUAUUUUUAUAUCUUUGUUAUUGUAAGCCCUUCCGCGGCCCUUUUAGGAUCCAGCGUGGCUGAGGAGGGAAGCCCGAGUUAUACACACAAGGCGAAAGGCAGGCUUUCUCGAUCUCUCUCUCCUCAUCUGUCUGUCCGUCUUGUAUAGCACAUGGUUCUGCUUCUGAUGCCGAUGGCUGUCGUCUCACUUCUUUGGGGUUUUAAUACUAAGCAGAAGCAUUACAAGAGAGAACAGACCUAGAUUUUAAUCAGUUCUCCACCACUACCGUCUCUGUAGCUUUGCCAACCUGAUUCACUCAGUUUGCCCACCUGUAAAUUGGAAAUAAUGACACCAUCUCACAGAGUUCUUGGGGGAAGGAAAGUAAACGGUGUAUGGAAAGGGGCGGGCCUCUGUUCUGUCUGGGAGACGCCACGAAAAGCAAAUUUCCUCUUCCUCCGACUUUUUAUGCCAGCCGAGCCCGAGGUUACCGGUUAGAGCCUUUUCAUGCUCGAUAAGGAAGACAUUGGAGAUGUGAGGGUUUAAGUCUCUGUUCUCCUUCACCUAUGAAAGUGGGACUUGUUGUGAAUAGUUUCUCUACUGAAGUAUACAAAGUCACAGAACUAUUUCAAGAGUCUAUUACUCACCAAGAGCUCUCCGGAGAAGCAUUCCUUCAAAGAAACAACCUGCCGAUUCCAGACAACUUGCUACUCUUCCUGGCUCAUGAUGUUUUAGAAGUCAUUUACCAGGUCAGCCCUCAGAAAGAGCAAAGAUUCAGAGCUCCUGACCCUUGGGUACUCUGGGUUUUUCUUUCUACAAACCCAGCAACCAGUGUGGCUCUGCAGGAUGACAGUGUGCGGACAAGGCUGUGUGAAAAGAAGAGGUUUCCUUCCUAGUCCAGACUCCCCACCCCUGGGAAGCCUUAGAUCAACUCUCCAUCCAGUCAUUGAUUCAUUCAACAAACGUGCAUGGAUGGAGUGUGAAAUGUGGGACCAGCUGCACAAGCCGUCGGGCAUAUGGUGGUGAGCCAAUAACUACCUCCCUUGCCCUCAUGGAGCCUAGAACCUAGUGGGGGAGGCAAACACGAGCACACACACACACACACACACACACACACACAGUAUGGUGAGCAAGAUAAAGAACCUGGAUAUCGGGAUCCCUGGGUGGCUCAGCGGUUUAGCGCCAGGGCGCGAUCCUGGAAUCCCUGGAUCGAGUCCCGUGUCGGGCUCCCAGGGAGCCUGCUUCUCCCUCUGCCUGUGUCCNCUCUCUCUCUCUCUCAUGAAUAAAUAAAUAAAUCUUAAAAAAAAAAAAAAAGAA